ensembl:lncRNA
UUGCUGGCGGGGAGCUGAACACGUUCAGCAGCCCUGAGUAAACGGACGGCCUCUCGGCUCCAGCGGGGUGAAGCUCUGUAAAACCAUUCCAUCAUCAGGACCAACACACACACACACACACACACACACACACACAUUGAUGUCCAGCCUCUCCUUACUACAGCAGACCUGCAGACCUCUAAUCUCUAAAAGAUUGAUGAGGUGCUGUUAAAGCGCAGGAGGCCUGGCGCAGCGUCGAUAAGGCAGCUUCAAUUUCACCACAUUGGUCCCCUCGCUCCCUCCUUUCUUCUCCUCUCCUCCUCCAUGCUGAGGGAUGCCGGAUCUGGCUUUAAAGCGUGAGAGAGGAUUAUGACACGCCAA